rnacentral:rRNA from 1 species
GAUUAUGGCUCGAGGACGAACGCUGGCGGCGUGCCUAACACAUGCAAGUCGAGCGGAGAUGAUGUGAGGAAGUUUUCGGAUAGAAUCACAUUAUUUAGCGGCGGACGGGUGAGUAACGCGUGAGCGACCAACCUUGCACAGGGGGAUAACGGACCGAAAGGUUCACUAAUACCGCAUGAGACCACGGUGUUGCAUGACACAGGGGUCAAAGGAGCAAUCCGGUGCAAGACGGGCUCGCGUCCGAUUAGGUAGUUGGUGGGGUAAUGGCCCACCAAGCCUAUGAUCGGUAGCCGACCUGAGAGGGUGAUCGGCCACAUUGGAACUGAGAUACGGUCCAAACUCCUACGGGAGGCAGCAGUGGGGAAUAUUGGGCAAUGGGGGGAAAAACCCCCUGACCCAGCAACGCCGCGUGAAGGAAGAAGGUUUUCGGAUUGUAAACUUCUGUCCUUGGUGAAGAGAAGAAGACGGUAGCCAAGGAGGAAGCCCCGGCUAACUACGUGCCAGCCGCUGC